CAUGAAGAGUCAGCAAAAUAGAAAAGAAAAAAGCAGCAGGUCAUGAGGUGCUCAUUUCAAUUCCUUGGGUUUGGCAUGCUGUGAUGAUGCCAGACAGCAGAAGAGGGAAUGGUAGAUCAUCACUAGGCAGGUGCUGGCUCCUCCCCUUCUUCUUCAAGGGCUUCGGAAAUCGGACCAUUUGACUGCAACUCCUCACCCCUGCCGGCUCUCGACAAAACCUCCAUCCAGCGUCGCUGCAUUUCCUCACAGUCGGCACUGAAGUAAACGGUCAAAUGACUCUGGCUCAUUUUGAAGGCGAAGCGACGUUCUAGACGGUCACUCGAUUCAGAUGGAGUGUGGCGUUGAUCUGUGGUGCCGUGGUUCAUCUGAAAUCCACUCACCAUUUUCCUGAUGGCAGCGUUUGAAUGUUCUGCCGCUGUGGCGAUCAGCUCCAGAGAUUCUGAAAAGAAUAAAGGAUGAAGGCACAUGCACGAAUAGUUGAAAUGAAACAGAAAGUGGGCCGCUGCGGUCAGUGGAGGAGAUAAGGCCCAUUUCAGCGUUCUGCCGUUCUGCACUCACUCUGAGCGUCUUUGAAGUCGUCCGCGUCCUCUGGCAGGCGGU